GAAAGUUACAAAGGGCGUACGGGGGAUGCCUUGGCUCUCGGAGGCGAUGAAGGGCGCGACAAGCUGCGAAAAUCUGCGGGGAUUGGCAAAUACGAAUCGAUCCGCAGGUACCCCAAUGGGACAACCCAUUCCGAGCAAUCGGAAUACUCCCGAGCAAUCGGGGGGGCUAACCCGGGGAACUGAAACAUCUCAGUACCCGGAGGAAAAGAAAACAAUAGUGAUUCCCCAAGUAGCGGCGAGCGAAAAGGGAAUAGCCUAAACCGUCAUUGUUUCGGCAAAGACGGGGUUGUAGGGCUGCAAUAAAUUUUUAGCACAAACAAGUGGAACGGUUAUGGAAAUGCCGGUCAUAGAGGGUGAGAGCCCCGUACACGUACAUUGUGUUAGAAAUAGCAGUACCCUGAGUAGGGCGGGACACGUGAAAUCCUGUCUGAAUCUGCCAGGACCAUCUGGUAAGGCUAAAUACUCCCGGGAGACCGAUAGUGUACAAGUACCGUGAGGGAAAGGUGAAAAGCACCCCGAACAGGGGGGUGAAAUAGUACCUGAAACCGUACGCCUACAAGCAGUCGGAGUCAUGCGUUUCGCGUGAUGACGGCGUGCCUUUUGCAUAAUGAGCCUACGAGUUAGUCGUCACUAGCAAGGCUAAGGGCUUUUGGCCCGUACCCGAAGCGAAAGCGAGUCUGAAAUGGGCGAUUGAGUUAGUGGCGCUAGACGCGAAACCUUGUGAUCUACCCAUGGCCAGGUUGAAGUCCCGGUAACACUGGAUGGAGGACCGAACCCACUGAUGUUGAAAAAUCAGGGGAUGAGCUGUGGGUAGGGGUGAAAGGCCAAUCAAACAGGGAAAUAUCUCGUACUCCCCGAAAUGCAUUUAGGUGCAGCCUUGUAAUAGUUUUGCAGAGGUAGAGCUACUGAUUGGAUGCGAGGGCUUCGCCGCCUAUCAAAUCCAGACAAACUCCGAAUGCUGCAAAAUGUUUUACAGGAGUGAGGGCAUGGGUGCUAAGGUCCGUGUCCGAAAGGGAAACAACCCGGAUCAUCAGCUAAGGUCCCCAAGUAUAUGCUAAGUUGAAACAAACGCGGUCUGUCUGCUUUGACAGCUAGGAUGUUGGCUUGGAAGCAGCCAUUCAUUUAAAGAGUGCGUAACAGCUCACUAGUCGAGCGGAUGGGCAUGGAUAAUAAUCGGGCAUAAGCAUAUCACCGAAGCUAUGAUAUAGCUUUUCUUCCCCCUUCGGGGGGAUUUAAGAGAGGCUAUAGGUAGGGGAGCAUUCCAACGGCAUUGAAGAGUUGUCGUGAGACAUAUUGGAGCGGUUGGAAGAGAAAAUGUAGGCAUGAGUAACGAUAAUCCCGGUGAGAAACCGGGACGCCGAUAGACUAAGGUUUCCUGAUCAACGCUAAUCGGAUCAGGGUAAGGCGGGACCUAAGGCAAACCCGAAGGGGGUAGCCGAUGGACAACAGGUUAAUAUUCCUGUCCCUGCUAUGCAACAAAAGUGACGGAGAAGUCAGGUGUCUGGGUGCUGACGGAAUAGCGCCCUGAGCUUAGCUUUCGGGCGAAGCGAAGACAAGCAGCUUUUUCCAAGAAAAGCGAGCAUAGCGGCCCGUACCGCAAACCGACACAGGUAGUCAAGGAGAGAAUCCUGAGGCGCUCGAGUGAUUCGUGGCUAAGGAACUAGGCAAAAUGACCCCGUAACUUCGGGAGAAGGGGAUCCCGCAGCAAUGCGGGACGCAGAGAAAUGGUCCAGACGACUGUUUAUCAAAAACACAGGGCUCUGCUAAACCGUAAGGUGACGUAUAGGGCCUGACACCUGCCCGGUGCCGGAAGGUUAAAAGGGGAUGUUAUCACGCCUUUGGCGUGAGAAGCAUUGAAUUGAAGCCCCGGUAAACGGCGGCCGUAACUAUAACGGUCCUAAGGUAGCGAAAUUCCUUGUCGGGUAAGUUCCGACCUGCACGAAU
rnacentral:rRNA from 1 species